UAACGAAUCCUCCGCAAUGGGCGAAAGCCUGACGGAGCAAUGCCGCGUGUGGGAUGAAGCGCCUUCGGCGUGUAAACCACUGUCAGGGAAUGGAACCAAUGAUUAUUCCCAAAGGAAGUGGCGACUAACUCUGUGCCAGCAGUCGCGGUAAUACAGAGGCCACAAGCGUUAGUCGGAAUCACUGGGCUUAAAGGGUGCGUAGGCGGGCCCGCAAGCGUCUUGUGAAAUCCCAUGGCUCAACCAUGGAAUUGCAGGGCGAACUGCGGGUCUUGAGGCAGGUAGGGGCCGGAAGAACAGUAGGUGGAGCGGUGAAAUGCGUAGAUAUCUACUGGAAUGCCGAUGGGGAAGCCGUCCGGCUGGGCCUGUCCUGACGCUGAGGCACGAAAGCGUGGGGAGCGAACGGGAUUAGAUACCCACGUAGUCCCUGAGCGGGCUGGCAAGGCGCAU
rnacentral:rRNA from 1 species